rnacentral:rRNA from 1 species
CAGAUUGAACGCUGGCGGCAGGCCUAACACAUGCAAGUCGAGCGGAUGAAGGGAGCUUGCUCCUGAAUUCAGCGGCGGACGGGUGAGUAAUGCCUAGGAAUCUGCCUGGUAGUGGGGGACAACGUUUCGAAAGGAACGCUAAUACCGCAUACGUCCUACGGGAGAAAGCAGGGGACCUUCGGGCCUUGCGCUAUCAGAUGAGCCUAGGUCGGAUUAGCUAGUUGGUGAGGUAAUGGCUCACCAAGGCGACGAUCCGUAACUGGUCUGAGAGGAUGAUCAGUCACACUGGAACUGAGACACGGUCCAGACUCCUACGGGAGGCAGCAGUGGGGAAUAUUGGACAAUGGGCGAAAGCCUGAUCCAGCCAUGCCGCGUGUGUGAAGAAGGUCUUCGGAUUGUAAAGCACUUUAAGUUGGGAGGAAGGGCAGUAAAUUAAUACUUUGCUGUUUUGACGUUACCGACAGAAUAAGCACCGGCUAACUCUGUGCCAGCAGCCGCGGUAAUACAGAGGGUGCAAGCGUUAAUCGGAAUUACUGGGCGUAAAGCGCGCGUAGGUGGUUCGUUAAGUUGGAUGUGAAAUCCCCGGGCUCAACCUGGGAACUGCAUCCAAAACUGGCGAGCUAGAGUAUGGUAGAGGGUGGUGGA